AGUUUCAACAACGGAUCUCUUGGCUCUCGCAUCGAUGAAGAACGCAGCGAAAUGCGAUAAGUAAUGUGAAUUGCAGAAUUCAGUGAAUCAUCGAAUCUUUGAACGCACCUUGCGCCCCUUGGUAUUCCUUGGAGCAUGCCUGUUUGAGUAUC
rnacentral:rRNA from 6 species